rnacentral:rRNA from 1 species
CCUGAGAGAUGAUCAGGUAGAUAGGUCAGGAGUGGAAGUACAGUGAUGUAUGGAGCGGACUGAUACUAAUCGAUCGAGGACUUAACCAAU